UCGGUUCGCGCUCCCACCCCUCGAGUGGCCCGGCUGCGGUCACUUUCUUCGCAGGACUGCUGCACUAAUGUGAUCCAGAGCGAGGGAGGACGAUGACUGGGACCCAUCACCUCCCCUCCUGAAGACGUCCUGAAGUCCUCGUCCAACGCCCCGAAACUCCCACCUGGUCUUCCUCCCAAACCUGUCGGUUCUGUUUCCGCUUGGCCCUCAUCAGAAAGACAAAAGCUGGAAAAAACAAAAGGAUCUUGACCAUCCGAAACUCCCCCACCCCAAGAGAGAUGAGACAAAGUACCAGAAGAAACAAGCUGGUGGAAAAAGAAGCCCAGAGUUUCUCCUCUCGCAGCUUUUCAUCUUCUUCCUUUUGCACUUUGAAACGCCUUAUCUGCUCCCCUUCUUUUGAAUUAAUCAUCAAAAGUGAGUAAGUGUGAGUGCCGGCUUGAUUCAGAUGCACAAAGACGCGUCUCCUCAGAUAAAGAAAGUGAUUAGGUUUAAGGCACAAAGGGGAGACGUGGGGGCAGGAGGAUCGUUCCUUUUACACACAUCCAAUAACGCCAUUAAAUGCCGUCUUCUCAUAGACAACAUUUAACUGAUGAAUAAAUGUGAACGUAAUUUAUUAAAAAUGAAAGCAAACUGUAA